ACAGCCCGGCUCACGCUCUCACAAGCCCUUGAAUCUGCCCGUGCUCGCUCUGCGGACAGGGCUGGGAGAUGCCGAGGGCCCCAGCGGCUCUGUCUGCACUCCACCCGGGCCGAGGGGGCUCGGGUCCUAGCGGGGAGAGGCGCGCCAAGCCUCCUCGCAGCUUCCAGGUGGAAGAAAACGACUCCUUUGCUCCGCUCUUUGCUGCUGGCUUGGGGCUAAACUUCUAGCUCCGGCCCGGGGGAGGGGCGGGAUGGCGAGCGGGCCGGCCGGGGGUGGAGUGGAGAGAACUGCGGGUUAACUUUGGGAGAAUCCGCCCAGAAACGCGUGUCGCUGAAUGAAGAAACUUCGGCCUUGCCUGUCCCUCGCUUCUCUCCGAGUGACUGAGCCCGGACGGAGCUUGGGAAGAGGAUCGCUGGGAAGAGACGCCCAGGGGCUCCUGCAGAAAGCCCUCUGCCCUUCCUUGCACCGCCCCUGGACCCAGGGACCAGAUCUCUGCUCAGGCUGAGGGAUGAAUUCUCACCUACUUCCAGCAGAAGUCUGAUUGGGAAGUUGCAUGCACAGAAGUUGUCUCGGGGGAAAUCAGCGCUGGCAAAAUAGUCAGGUGUGGCUUUUAACAAUUAACUCAGCAUUGACAAAAAGUCUGCAGUCACAAAAUACGUGAGAGAUGGCCAGUGUUUUGAGUCCAUGCUCCAAACUUCUUGUGCUGAUGGAUCCAGGAGACUUUGUGGAGGAAGGUGGACUGAGUGGAUGUCACACAGGUGUGUGUUGUCAGUGUUAGGCAUGUCUGAAGCGGUUGGCCCAAUGCCUGUCACUAUCUCUUCCUCCCAAGCUGCCCAGACUCUGAGGGAGCCUGAAGAACCCUUGAUGGCCCAUGGCCCCAGCAGCCACAGGCCACCUGCAUUUGCCUCUUCCCACAUGGGCCCCUGAUUAAAGGAAAGGCGACCAGGAUGAUUGGGCUCUUUGGAAUUCAGCAUCUUGAAGAUGAUUCCAGAGAAGUCAGCAGGGCAGCCUGAUCUGACCACCACAUUAAGGAGCAGGGCUGUCGGAAAUUCACCUCGCCAAAUACCUUCCUCUACCCACCAUUGAAAAGAUCUCAGAGUGGCUUCAGUGAAAGUGUUCUCUUUCACUGCUCCUAACAUACUUCGGGAAGCAGCUCUUCUUCAAAACCUCUGCGGCUGCUUCCUGACCAAGAGGAAAGGUGUUUUUCUUCUUCCUUACCCUCAUUUGUGCCCCGACUGUGGGUGGGAGUUGGGUUUGGAGUUGCUGCAGAUUGACCCCAGUGCCCGUCCUCCCCCAGAGCCUCCACACCUGGGU